rnacentral:lncRNA from 1 species
GGGGUAACAAGAAGGCACAUGAGGAAACUCUUCUUAAGUUAGGAGGGCUUUUCAAGAAGAAUUUUGAGGGGUUCCUGAGCUAUAAGAUUGGGACAGACAGCAAGCUAACUGAGGAGAUCCUAGCAGCUGGCCCAAAUUUCUGAAUCUAGAGAGAGUUUGAAAGUAUGUGUGUUGAGAUUGGUCUUUUGUUUUAAAUAUAUCAGAAUGUGGUUGUGCUGGGUUCUUUCUCUUUGAGUGAAUAAGAAUGUUGAGUUUGUAUGGCUAAAACACAUUUCCAAGUUGACUUAUUUAAAGGGAUGUAAAUUUGUUACCCUUGAGUUAUUUGAAACUCGAUUCUUUAAAACCUCGUUCAAGUAAGACUUAUAAGCUUUGUCAAUUUAUCCAUUGUACAAUUAAUAUUUAAGAAAUUGGCAACACCCAAAAAUUCAAACUAGGCACAAACAACAAGAAAGAUUUAGAACAAACACUGACCAUAUGAUCCAAGCUGUCAUCGACAUGAGAAAGUGAAUCAGCUGAACUAAGGUCCUCUGUGUCGCAUAAUUUGGCGUGUGUUAUUAUAUCUGCUAGAGUAUAAAAUAUUUGAGGUGUUUAUCAUUACAUGGAUUAUACCUUCAAAAUUUUAAACUUAUUCAGAUACAU